CCUACGGGUGGCAGCAGUGAGGAAUAUUGGUCAAUGGGCGCGAGUCUGAACCAGCCAAGUAGCGUGAAGGAUUACUGCCCUAUGGGUUUUACACUUCUUUUAUAAGGGAAUAAAGCGUUCCACGUGUGCUCUUUUGUAUGUACCUUAUGAAUAAGGAUCGGCUCACUCCGUGCCCGCAGCCGCGGUAAUACGGAGGCUCCGAGCGUUGUCCGGAUUUAUUGGGUUUAAGGGGAGCGUAGGUGGAUUGUUAAGUCAGUUGUGAAAGUUUGCGGCUCAACCGUAAAAUUGCAGUUGAUACUGGCAGUCUUGAGUACAGUAGAGGUGGGCGGAAUUCGUGGUGUAGCGGUGAAAUGCUUAGAUAUCACGAAGAACUCCGAUUGCGAAGGCAGUUUACUGAACUGCAACUGACACUGAGGCUCGAAAGUGUGGGUAUCAAACAGGAUUAGAUACCCGAGUAGUC
rnacentral:rRNA from 1 species